CGCGACAGCCCCGCAGGAUCUGAAGGUGGUCCGUGUGAGCGCCCUGGUUUUGAUCACAGGUCUCCGCCCCCCUCGCCGUCAUCUGGUGGCGGGCCGGCCCAGGACGGGGAUACACUGUAAAAAAUGAUUCAGGAGCAGAGAAAGCGACGGCCAUUUUAUGCUGCCAGACUGCACCAGCAGCAACAGUUUGGCCCAGAACUGCUGUGGGCAUCAAUCUUCAGCCCUCGUGUUUGCAGACACAUAUAUCAGCUGGUAUUGGUGAGGAAUGUGUUGUGGAAAACCACUAGCCGUUAGCCGCUAACGCUAAUAACGACUCGUUAAUUCGAACAGAAAAGCUCUAACUUGUUAGCUGUUAGCCGCAAAUGUUAAAGAGGAUCUUGCAGUGGAAACAUGGUUUGUGCGGCACAGGAGGCUCUAUGCGGACUUAGCUGAUGUAACUUAGUCUUUUUAAUGUUUGGUUUUGGUGUUACAGUGUCAGCCAAAUUACAUUAAAUAUAACCGAGUUUAGAAGUUAAUUUAAAACAGGCUGCAUGUGCGUCGUUUGACGUGCAUAACAAUGGAAACGUUAAACCUUGAACAGUUGUAGGUUAUAUGUUUAUAUGUUAUAUGUUUCGGUUUUAAAUGGAUGUAUGUUGAUGUUUAAACUAGCAUUGGUAAAGUUAAAGCAUGUGAUUAAUCUGUAAACAAUACAGUAAAGAAAAAAAUAAUGCACGAUUAGGCUAAUCGCUGCACGUGACCAAGGUGGAGCCUGCGUAUACAGUCUAUUGUUGAAUAUUCAACUUUUUUAUAUUUAUAUUUAUACACACACACACACACACACAUAUGUAUAGCCAAGUGGAUAGGGGUUAUUUUGAUCACAUAAGCAUUUCUGGUAUGAUUUAAUUCUAACUGUAUUUUUUCUUCUUCUUCUUUCUUUCUUCUAACUGGUCGUGGUGUACCUCGGAGAGAAGGAGGAGAAUCUCUUUAAAGAGCAGUUGGCUGACGGGAUCUCACCAAUGAAGUGCUGAAGAUCAUUCUAACCAGAAGUAGAACACCUGAUCCACCCAGCGCACGGAUUGUGAUCGCGGGAACAGAAGUCCUGGAAGACGUGGACGUACCCAGAGCCUGUGCCUUGCUCAUGGGGCUGAUCUUCUCGCUCCAUCUCAGCUACCCGAAGGAACUUAAAAACACUUUUGAAGUGUUUCAAAAGGUCUUCCUUGAGCCAGAUGGUCUGAAGGUAAUGUCUCAAAAAAUGUGACAACUGUCCACUAAUUGAGCAGGAAAUGUUGCAUUUAUGUUUAUACAUUGUGUUUGUACGUUUGUAAAGUUUUUGCUGUAUACACUUUUUUCAGUACAUGUAUUUAAGUAUAUUUAAAGUACUUGAAGUACAAUUUAAGUUUACACUUGAAGUUCAGUAAAAGUUAAUGUUAUGAGGAUGAAAGGUGAAGAAUUAGUUGAUAAAAAUGGUUUGUAAAAUGUGCCAGUUCAUCACACUGUUUACAUUUCAAGUAGUACAUUAUACUAUAAGUAUAUUUUUCACAAGGUGAAUUGAGUAAAUGUUGAUCAGAUGGUUUUUAUUCUUCAAGUUGUUACUGUGCUUACCUAUUUCGCUCUGAAACAGGGUAUUUAGGCAGGGCUUUAGCAUUUACUGCAUCUGCAACCAUGUCCUUCACCUGAUAUUGCUGGUCGAUUGCAACAAAAAUUGUUGUUGAUAUAAGUUGAUUACAAUA